CAUCGCUGGGCGCAGCCUGAUCCAGCAUGCCGCGUGAGUGAAGAAGGCCUUCGGGUUGUAAAGCUCUUUUGUCAGGGAAGAAACGGCUCCGGCUAAUAUCCGGGGCUAAUGACGGUACCUGAAGAAUAAGCACCGGCUAACUACGUGCCAGCAGCCGCGGUAAUACGUAGGGUGCAAGCGUUAAUCGGAAUUACUGGGCGUAAAGCGUGCGCAGGCGGUUUUGUAAGUCUGACGUGAAAGCCCCGGGCUCAACCUGGGAAUUGCGUUGGAGACUGCAAGGCUUGAAUCUGGCAGAGGGGGGUAGAAUUCCACGUGUAGCAGUGAAAUGCGUAGAGAUGUGGAGGAACACCGAUGGCGAAGGCAGCCCCCUGGGUCAAGAUUGACGCUCAUGCACGAAAGCGUGGGGAGCAAACAGGAUUAGAUACCCUGGUAGUCCACGCCCUAAACGAUGUCUACUAGUUGUCGGGUUUUAAUUAACUUGGUAACGCAGCUAACGCGUGAAGUAGACCGCCUGGGGAGUACGGUCGCAAGAUUAAAACUCAAAUGAAAUUUGACGGA
rnacentral:rRNA from 1 species